rnacentral:lncRNA from 1 species
CACACAUUUUUUAAACUAGAUACCCCAAUGAUGAUUGUGGUCAAGUUUGGUUCAAUUUGGCCCAGUAGUUUCAGAGGAGAAGAUUUUUGUAAAAGUUAACGACGCCGGACGACGGACGACAGACGACGGACGACGGACGCAAAGUGAUGGGAAAAGCUCACUUGGCCCUUCGGGCCAGGUGAGCUAAAAAUGUGGUCAGGGCCAUAUGAAUUAUUUGAGUUGGACUGGCUAAUGACAACAAAAACAAUUACUAUAUUAAUAUUGACUUGUCAUGCAUAAUUAUCUAGGAGCAGGUGAACUUACCAAUGAAACAGACCUAAGUCUGAAUUCACAUGAAAUGUGAAUUCAAUGCCAUAUACAAUUAAGUCAUACUGACAUAUACUCCUUUACACAGAAAAUUGAACUUGACCUGACCACUAAAGCAAGAUAAUAGAGGACAAUGAUCAGGCGACCAACGGCAUAAACAAAAUUUGAUAACUCAACCUAAAUAAGGGAUAAAGUACAAAUGUAUUUACAAUUAUAAAAGAGAUGGUUACUGUGGACCAUGGUCUUGAUUCAAGUAAGUGAAGAGAAAAUAUACUUGUAUGCUUAUAUUUGAGAUAAAUACAUGUAAAUAUGCAUAUAUGACAAUACAUUAAAUUUUUCAUGGAUUCUUGUAAUUAUAUAUUUGUUGGACUUUCUUUCUCUCUCACUUACAUCAUUUUAGUCAGUCACUUACUCAUUAAGAAUUUCUUUCUCUCUCACUUUCAUUAUUAAGUCAAUUAAUUAUGCCUUCUUUCCUCCUCUCUCACUUACAUUUUUACAUAGUCAUACAUUUAUACAUUGGGAUUUUUCUCUCACUUUCAUUAUUGCAGUCGGUCAUUUAUACAAUGGGAUUUUCUUUCUCUUUAUCUUCCAUUCAGACAUAUAUAAAUAUACAUUGGAUCAAUUAAAAUACCAUCUUCGCUAGCCAAGGGUUACGAUCCACUCCGGCUCUCUCAGCGAAGACGUCAAAAUACAUUCAAACAAACAAAAUCUCAUUUCUAGUAACACAUUGUGAGUAUACACAAACUCACAUACAGAAACUCAGUGGCGGAUCCAAGGGGGGGGUUCUGGGGGUUGGAACCCCCCCUUUUUUUUUGAAGAUCAAUGCAUUUGAAUGGGAGCAUAUAGUUGGAACCCCCCCUUUACUCUGGGUUAGGAACCCCCCUUUAAAAUGGCUGGAUCCGCCACUGAAACUUAGGUAAAAAUUGAAACAAAAAUAUGCAUUACAGACCUGUAAAUUCAGAAAUUAUUGUGAUGUCUAUAUUAAUGCGAAAAAAUAACAGUAUCCUUUUGAAAUAAUAAAAUCUUGCAUACAAAAUUCCAGUAGUGAUAUUUCUUCAUAAAAUUUCAUAAAAAACAAUAGCACUUAAUAAUAAGAUAUCACAUUUUUGCUAGUGGUCAAGAAUUCACAAUAAUAAAUGCAAGCAUUAAUUUCUGAAUAUGCAGUUAUCCAAUCAGUUAAAAGAAUAUCACAGUAUGAUAUUAAAAAUCCCAGUUAAAUACGUAUUUAGUACAUUGUGGACCUGUUUAUGUUUUAUCUGAUUAUCCAGAAUUUCAUAGAAUAUCAGUCUACUGGAUAUCCACUGGGAAGUUCAUCAUAAACAUCAGCCUAGUUGUUAGGGUUCUGUGAUCAUGAAUGUUUAGUAAAGAAUUUAUAAUAUAUAACUCCACCUAGUCCACACACUUCUAGAAGGAUUAUAACAAUUAAAAUCAUCUUGUUGGUCAUCACUCUGUAAAUAGGAAAAAAGUCAAGAUAUUUUCUGUUUGUAUG